AGUGAUGUUGAUUCUGACGGUGAACGAGAGGCCGAACACCCCGGUUAGGCUUUGGAUCUGUGGGUACACGCUGCAGUGCUUGGUGCAUAUGGUUUUGGUGUGCUUGGAGUAUAGGAGAAGGAAUACGAGGAGAGUGAGAGUUGAUGAGAAUCAGCCAGAAAACGAAGGAGGGAAUGUUGAUAGUGAAGAUGAGGAUACGAGUGAUAGGGGUUCCCAGAGUUCUAGCCGAUCAAGUGUGGCUAAACGAUGUGAAUCAGUGAACACAAUGGCUUCAUUUAUAUGGUGGAUAGUUGGCUUUUAUUGGGUAGUUUCUGGUGGCGACGUCCUUUCGCAAGAUGCUCCACGCUUGUACUGGCUGGGUGUGGGUUUUUUUGC
rnacentral:misc_RNA from 1 species